GGCAUUAAAUGUAUGUUGAAAAACGGUGGCUAUGUGGAUUAAUCGGAUAAGACAGUAUGCUCUACGUUGAAUUUUCUACACUAUAUGUGGUGCACAAAUAAUUUCUCACCUAAGACCAAAGCCCACUCAUGGACUUGACCUUCAUCAACUGUGACAAGAUCGUGAGUCGUUGCUGGGCCAAAUAGUUUCAGAAGGCCGAUACAGGGUAACAGCCCUUUUCAGCCGGCCCAUUAGCUGAAGCGGCUCCGGCCCUUUCUACCCAGCCC
rnacentral:lncRNA from 1 species